ensembl:lncRNA
CAAUAGAGUCAUAUUGGGGUAUUGUCAGAUAAUAAAAACUUGUCUUCCUGUAAUGUUAUUGUAACUGAAAAUCCUGAUCCUUAGUACUACUGCGGGUAUGUUUACCAGAUCAGAGUGGAAGGAUCAUCAGAUCAUCACAGUCAUAACACAGUUGUAAUAAAUUGUAAAUUGUUCGAGUGUUCCUCCUACACAAUUGUCCUUAGUGGUGGCGGUAAAUAUAAGCAAAGCUUGUCCGUCAUAUCAUGACACAUAUAUAGUUUUAUCAAUGUAAUUAUGUCUACAUAUUGACAUAUAGCCUAUACCAACACCAAACUGUUAAUUCUUGUGGUUGGAUGUCACUGUCCACACUAAUAUGUAAUACGUGUUUGCAUGUGUGCAUAGACAGUCUGGGCUGGGCUGGGGCACUGUGCCUUGCCCUUGUGACUCUGGUUGCGCUGCUUCGCUGUGUCUGUGGAUACGCAUCUCUUUAUCACAUUUGUGAUCUGAUGCUCUAGACCUUUAACCCCCUCUUUCUUUAACAUGCCAGUCUCUGCAGUAGUUGUGGAGGUGACCCAUGGGAGCUUUGGCAGUACAGCGCUGGCGUGGUGGAGGUACAUUGUAGUUUUCAUCAGCGUUCCACUUAUUGUCGCUCCUUUGUUCCAGACUCCUGAAGCGGCUGAUGAUAUACAAUUCAAUGAUGGUUCUCAUAAUACCGGAGAGUACCUGGGAUAAGCAGCACCUGUUGCGCCUGUUGCCAGCCCAGAAGCAGACCUCACAGUGCCGCUUCCCACCACCUCGGCCCUGGAGGAAAUGGCCCUCUAUAGCAACAAGCGUAAACUGAGACAGGGCCGCCGCAGCCUGGAGACCGCCGUACCCACAUAACAGCACAUCUGCACCAAACCCACUGGGAGACAAAACCCUGUGGAACACCGAUGUACCACGAGGCGUAUACCCCUUCAACACUAGACCUGUGUCAGUAGAGCUAUCAUUCAGUGCACAAAUUCACUGACACUAUCCUGCGUGCCAGCCAUGCCUUUCACAGUCUACGGACAUUGGACAAGAGGAGGCAAGCGUGGUUAGCCUAGCGUGGUUAGCCUAGUGUUUAGUGUGCUUUAGAAGUAUCCGACAUGGCCGAUUGUUUUUUAGUUUUGUUAUUAUUAUUUACAUAUUUGCACCUCAAAAAAGAUAUACUGGAAACAAAAAGAUAUGGGUCCCUCUAGCUGUACUAACAUGCUGAAAUAUAUUUUUAGACUUUAAAUAGAUUGUAAAUGUUAUCACUUUGAGUUGAAACGGAGUGUACAUAUUGAUUGGGAACAGCCUGCUACCUUCGCGGCCACAACUAGAUUGAUUUUUUUUAUUUUUUUUUUAAUGAAUGGGACAUAUCAUGUUUGCACUGCCACUGUUCAGCUUUUUAAAAUGCAUAUCUCUGAGUAAUUUAUUGUUUUUAAAAAUAAAUACAUUUACUUACAAAACAUUUAUCAAUAUCAAAUUUAACUUCUUAAAUAUCUGUAAGAACACUAUUAUCAUAUGUGAUAAUAUUCAUAUUCUGACUGUGUUACAUUCCCUGUUGUAGCGAACACAGCAGCAGAAAAGCUAAAUCUAUAUAAUCAAUGGUACUUGUUUUUCAUGCACAUCUUCAUUUUUGUCUUUUUGCAUCCCGAGUUUUGGAGUGACGUGAAGGUAGCAGCUCCUAUAUUUUUCUGUCUUGAGUAAUUUAAAUGAUGCCACUGAAAUCAUUUAUUAUUGUGUGAAUAAUGUACAAAUAUUGAAAUUAUAGUGAACUUUGGGUGUGCAACUGAGCCAGUCUUGACCACGACUAUAGUCUGGACUGCUGACUUGGGGCUCGGAGCUCUCUGCAUGUUUGACAGUUGCGAAUGGGAGAGCUAAGAGAGGCCUGGCCAAGUAAAAAAUCUCUAUCAAGACACAUUUUUCCAUCAGAAUCAAAGCUUGUGUUAAUAAUUUAAUGUUGAAUCUUAGUUUUUCAUGUUGCUCUAAUUGACUGAAAUUCAGUUCGUCAGAUAACUUUUGUGAUGGCUUUUUAAAACUUACAGUAGCUAUUUUUUCAGCCGGGUUUCACUUCAGUAAUAAUGCAGUGUUUUUAAGUCUGUUUGUCUUCAGUAAUCUUUGGGGGCUGUAACCUGCAAAUGGGUCGAUGGUAAAGGGUUUGAGCUCACACAAGACUGUAACUAGUGAAUUUGUACAACCA